UGUGAGGGGAGGGGCUGGCCGGGCUCUGCGGUGGGCUCUGUGCAUAGUGUGGGCUUCCUGGGUCCCCACAGGCCAGGGCAGGAAAAGACUGCAGCAGGAGGGACACAUCUCAAAGGGCCUGCUGGGUCGGCUCGAAGCACACUUCUUGUAGACAGUGUCUGGGAAGGACCUCAGGGGACAGAACUUGCCGGUGCCCUCAGCGCACAUGAAGACACCGUUCUCAUACACCACCCGCCCCCGGCUGAUGGUGACCAGUGGCACGCCAUGGCAGCGCAUGUUCUCGUACAGGUUGAAGUCUCCCCCCUGCACCUGGGUGCUGGCCGAGAUGGUCCUGGGGGGAAGAAGUGGUGGAAGAGGGAGCUCUGAGGAGAGGCAAAGGCGCCACAGCUCAACGGAACGGAGGAAAAGAAAAUUGAGACACCAGGAAGACACACAGAGGAAACCCCACGUGAGGAGGGAGAAGACGGCCACCUGCAAGCCAAGGAGGGCGGCUGCAGAUUGCAUCCACCCUGCCGACACCUCCAUCUGACUUCUAGCCCCCAGAACUGUGAGGAAACAGAUUUCUGCCGUGUGAGCCCCCAAGCUGUGUGAGAAUGAUGCCCUACAUCCUGCUGGUCACUCCUGGCACACUUCAUUCACUCAUUCAACGUGCACUCCCUAACGCCCCGGCUGCCAGCGCCGUGCGCUCAGGGAACCGCCCGCAGCGAGAGGCGCAGAGGAUGGAGGAGCCGGGGACGGGGUGCGAGGCCGUCUGUCCGGUCAGCCACAUCCUAGCUACAGGGCGUGGGGCUCCCUCUACACUCUGGUCCAUGGGGAAGGAAGUAAGAACCCCAGGCUUGAGUGCUUCUCGGGGCUGCGAGUCAAAUCAAAUGAGAUAACGAUGGGCAGCCGCUUGGAAACACUGUCCAGCGCUGUGCUGGCGGAGCUGGUCACUGCUGUGCUCCCAGGCCGGACCCGGGGAGGCCCUCAGAUAGUCAUUACGUUGAACAUGCCUCAGGUCGCACUCCUCUGUGCUAGGAGUGCAGAGAGGCUAUGCUUUGGGAAUUCUGUAAUGCAAGCUGCUUAAGCCCCCAGGCCCCCA